rnacentral:ncRNA from 2 species
AUUUCAACUAAGGGGUGCCCUAAUACGACGGGCUGAGAUCAUACCCAUUAACCUGAUCCGGGUAAUGCCGGCGGAGGGAAAAGAAGAAAAGUUCCCC